AUAAAAAAAUAAAUUAAAUUUAUAAGAAAAAUAAAUUUUAAAAAAUAAAAUUAUAGGAAAGUUUAAAGUUUUAGUAAGGGAUAAAAAAAAAUUUAUGAUAAUUUAAAAAAAAUUGUAAAAGAAAUUAGUAAAAUUUUAAAAAGAAAAUUUAAUUUAUUGUACCUUUUGUAUCAGGGGUUAUUAAAUAAAAAUUUAAAAAUUUAUAGAUCUCGAAUUAAAAAGAGUUAAUUAAUUAUUAAAGUUAAUGUGAAAUAAUGAUUUUAAAUAAUUAAUUAAAGGUGAAAUGCUAUUCGUUUUUUAAGAUAUCUAGUUUUUUAAUAUAUAAAUUUAAUUUAGUUAUAAAAAUAAAUUAUUAAUAUUUUAAAAUUAAUAAUAAGUUUAUAAAAAAAGAUUUAUGGGAUAAUCUAUAAGUUUAAAUUAAAUGAAUUUUAUAAAAUUAAUAAAAUUUAAAAAUUAAAAUUUUUAAAAUUAAUAAGUUUUUAAUAAUUUAUUAUAUAAAUAAUGUAAUUUAAUAAAAUUAAUUAAUUAAAUAUUAAAAUAAAAAAUAAAAUUAAUUAAAAUUUAUAAUAAUGAUAAUAUAAGUAUAAAAUAAAGUUAAAUUUAUAAUAAAAAAAAAAUAAAUUUAAGGAAUUAGGCAAUAUUUAAAGUUCACUUGUUUAACAAAAACAUGUUUUUUUGAAAAUAAUUUAAAAUUUACUCUGCCCAAUGAUAAAAUUUAAUGGCCGCAGUAUUUUGACUGUGCAAAGGUAGCAUAAUAAAUAGUUUUUUAAUUGAGGACUGGAAUGAAAGAGGGGAUGAAAUUUUAACUGUCUCAAAUUUAAUAAUAAAAAUUUAUUUUAAGUAAAAAAUCUUAAAUUUAUUUAAGGGACGAGAAGACCCUAUAGAAUUUUAAAUUUUUUAUAUUAAAAUUUAGUUAAUUUAAUUAAAUAAAUUAUAAUAAUAAAAAAUUUUUUAUUGGGAGGAUAUUUAAAUUUAAUUAACUUUAAAUUUUUUAUAACGAUAAUGAAUGAAUUUAUAAAAAUUUAUAAAUAAAAAAAAUAAAAUUACCUUAGGGAUAACAGCGUAAUAAAUUUUUAAAGUUCAAAUUAAAAAAUUUGUUUGCGACCUCGAUGUUGAAUUAAAAUAAAAUUUAAGUGUAGAAGCUUAAUAUUUGAGUCUGUUCGACUUUUAAAAUUUUACAUGAUUUG
rnacentral:rRNA from 1 species